rnacentral:rRNA from 1 species
UACGUAGGGGGCGAGCGUUGUCCGGAUUUAUUGGGCGUAAAGAGCUCGUAGGCGGCUUGGCAAGUCGGGUGUGAAACCUCCAGGCUCAACCUGGAGACGCCACUCGAUACUGCUAUGGCUAGAGUCCGGUAGGGGACCACGGAAUUCCUGGUGUAGCGGUGAAAUGCGCAGAUGUCAAGAGGAACACCUGAGGUGAAGACGGGUUGCUGGGCCGAUACUGACGCUGAGGAGCGAAAGCGUGGGGAGCAAACAGG